rnacentral:miRNA from 1 species
CAAGAGCUUGAAUGUUGUUGUGA